UACGUAGGGUGCGAGCGUUGUCCGGAAUUAUUGGGCGUAAAGAGCUCGUAGGCGGUCUGUCGCGUCGGAUGUGAAAACCCAGGGCUUAACCCUGGGCCUGCAUUCGAUACGGGCAGACUAGAGUUCGGUAGGGGAGACUGGAAUUCCUGGUGUAGCGGUGAAAUGCGCAGAUAUCAGGAGGAACGCCGGUGGCGAAGGCGGGUCUCUAGGCCGACACUGACGCUGAGGAGCGAAAGCGUGGGGAGCGAACAGG
rnacentral:rRNA from 1 species